AUCGCUUCUCGGCCUUUUGGCUAAGAUCAAGUGUAGUAUCUGUUCUUAUCAGUUUAAUAUCUGAUACGUCCCCUACCCGGGGACCAUAUAUUAAAUUGAUUUUUGGAUCAGGGAGCCGGAACGGGGGCUUGCUCCUUCCACUCCACGCAUCGACCCCGGUAUUGCAUUACCUCCAGGUACGGUGCACAUUCU
ensembl:snRNA U2 U2 spliceosomal RNA